AGCAGCCUUCCCCUUCGAUCUGGGAGAGGAGCGGGACUACGCUUCCCAGUGGCCUUUGCGGGCGCAGCCUUCCCCUUCGAUCUGGAGAGGAGCGGGACUACGCUUCCCAGGGGGCUUUGCGGAGCUCGCUGGGCGCGUGGCAGGCGUCGGCCGCCGGUCCCAGCUCCCAGGAUGAUUCACGAGCUGCUCUUGGCGCUGAGCGGGUACCCCGGGGCCGCGUUCACCUGGAGCAAGAGGAGCGGCCUCCAGGUGUCCCAGGAGCUGCCGUUCCUGCACCCCAGCGAGAGCAGCGUCCUGAACCGGCUCUGCCGCCUCGGCUCCGACUACAUUCGCUUCACCGAGUUCAUCGAGCAGUACCCGGGCCACGUGCAGCAGCAGGAUCAUCACCCUUCGCAGCAGAACCAGUGUGGGUUACAUGGGAUUUACUUGCGGGCCUUCUGUACAGGGCUUGAUUCAGUGCUGCAGCCCUAUCGACAGGCAUUGCUUGACCUGGAGCAGGAGUUCCUGGCUGACCCUCACCUCUCCAUCUCCCACAUUAACUACUCCCUGGAUCAGUUCCAACUCCUCUUCCCCUCGGUGAUGGUUGUGGUGGAGCAGAUCAAGACCCAGAAGAUUCAUGGCUGUCAACUCCUGGAGACUGUCCAUAAACACAGCUGUGGGGGGCUGCCCCCUGUGCGUAGUGCACUGGAAAAGAUCCUGGCUGUGUGUCAUGGAGUCAUGUAUAAGCAGCUCUCUGCCUGGAUGCUGCAUGGACUGCUCCUAGAUCAACAUGAAGAGUUCUUUGUUAAACAGGGCCCAUCUUCUGGGAAUGUCCCUGCCCAGCCUGAAGAAGAGGACGAUGACCUGGGAAUUGGGGGAUUAACAGGAAAACAGCUGCGAGAGCUGCAGGAUCUGCGCCUGAUUGAGGAGGAGAACAUGUUAGCACCAUCUCUGAAACAGUUUUCUCUGCGAGUGGAAAUGUUACCAUCAUACAUACCUGUGCGGGUUGCUGAGAAAAUCCUCUUUGUGGGAGAAUCAGUACAGAUGUUUGAGAAUCAAAAUGUGAACCUGACCAGAAAAGGCUCCAUCUUGAAGAACCAGGAAGACACUUUUGCUGCAGAGCUACACCGCCUCAAGCAGCAGCCACUCUUUAGUCUGGUGGACUUUGAGGCUGUGGUAGACUGGAUUCGGAGCACAGUUGCUGAGCACCUAUGGAAGCUGAUGGUAGAAGAAUCAGAUUUACUAGGACAACUGAAGAUUAUUAAGGAUUUUUAUCUACUGGGGAGAGGAGAAUUGUUCCAAGCCUUCAUAGACACUGCACAGCACAUGUUAAAAACCCCACCCACAGCUGUAACUGAACAUGAUGUCAAUGUGGCGUUCCAGCAGUCUGCUCACAAGGUGUUGCUAGAUGAUGAUAAUCUCCUUCCUUUAGUCCACCUUACCAUUGAGUAUCAUGGAAAAGAGCAUAAAGAUGCUUCUCAGGCUCGGGAAGGGCCUUCCCGGGAGUUAUCUCCCCGUGAAGCCCCCACAUCUGGUUGGGCAGCUCUGGGACUCUCUUAUAAAGUGCAGUGGCCAUUGCACAUCCUCUUCACUCCUGCUGUCUUGGAGAAAUACAAUGUUGUAUUCAAAUACCUGCUGAGUGUGCGGCGGGUCCAGGCUGAGUUGCAGCACUGCUGGGCUCUCCAGAUGCAGCGCAAGCACCUGAAGUCCAACAGAACUGAUGCCAUCAAGUGGCGUUUGAGGGAUCACAUGGCCUUCCUUGUGGAUAAUCUUCAGUACUAUCUGCAGGUGGAUGUGCUGGAGUCUCAGUUCUCACAGCUUCUGCUGCAGAUAAACUCCACUCGGGAUUUUGAGAGCAUCCGAUUGGCUCAUGAUCACUUCCUAAGUAACCUGUUGGCUCAAUCCUUCAUCCUGCUCAAACCUGUUUUCCAUUGCCUGAAUGAAAUCCUGGAUCUCUGUCACAGUUUCUGUUCUCUGGUCAGUCAGAAUUUGGGCCCAUUGGAUGAGCGUGGAGCUGCACAGCUGAGCAUCCUGGUAAAGGGCUUCAGCCGUCAGUCCUCGCUCCUUUUCAAGAUUCUCUCCAGCGUUCGCAACCACCAGAUAAACUCUGACUUGGCUCAGCUGUUGCUCCGCCUGGACUACAACAAAUACUACACCCAGGCUGGGGGGACUUUGGGCAGUUUUGGGGUUUGAGCACCAGGACUAGUUUUUCUGGCUGAGAACAAGCGCACGGCAAGAUGUAGCAAGGACACCAACUGCUGCUGCAUAUGAAAAUAGACAGAAGACAGCCAAAAGCAAACACAUCUCUUCUGCACUUAAGCCUGCAACUACAGAAGCCUGGGAGGCUAACAGAAAAUAACUAACAGAUUAAUAGAAAAGGGACACACAAUACAUCAUGCAGUGGAGGUCACGGACACAGGAGCGGAUUACAAGACAGCUUAGCAGAGGUUUUUGUUUUAAAAUGGUUUGGUCCUCAAACUAUUAGAUCAGAAGAAAGUGGAGUUGGGGGGGAGAGAAGAGCUGGGCAGGCUCACGCACACAUCUCCAAUCACAUCACUUUCCUGCAGCAGAGAAGAGGCUUUUCCUUCAUCAGUGUGUCAGCUGGUUGUUGCAGCACCUCUGAUCAGGUACAGCUAUGCCAGAAGGCACAAUAAUUUACUAGGGCUGUUGAUUAAUCACAUUUAACUCACACAAUUAACUAAACAAAGUUAAUCACGAUUAAUCGCACUUUUAAUCCCACUGUUAAACAGUAGAAUACCAAUUGAAAUUUAAUAAAUAUUUUUGGAUGUUUUUCUACAUUUUCAAAUAUAUUGAUUUCAAUUACAACACAGAAUACAAAGUGUACAGUGCUCACUUUAUAUUUAUUACAAAUAUUUGCACUGUAAAAACUAAAUUAUUUUUCAAUUCACCUUAUACAAGUACCACAGUGCAAUCUCUUUAUCACGCAUGUGCAAUUUACAAAUGUAGAUAUGUUUUGUUACAUAACUGCACUCAAAAACAAAACAGUGUAAAACUUUAGAGCCUACAAGUCUACUCAGGCCAACUUCUUGUAUAGCCAAUCACUAAGACAAACAAGUUUGUUUACAUUUACUGGAGAUAAGAAGCAGGGAGCAUUAAAAACCAGGCAUUCACAUGGCACUUUUGUAGCCAGCAUUGCAAGGCAUUAACGUGCCAGAUAUACUAAACAUUUGUAUACCCCUUCAUGCUUCCGCCAUCAUUCCAGAGGACAUGCUUCAUUGCUGAUGAUGCUCAUUUAAAAAAACAGUCCAUUAAUUAAAUUUGUGACUGAACUCCUUGGGGGAGAAUUGUAUGUCUUCUGCUCUAUUUUACCUGCAUUCUGCCAUAUAUUUCAUGUUAUAGCAGUCUCAGAUGACCCAGCACAUGUUGUUCAUUUUAAGAACACUUUCCACUGCAGAUUUGACAAAAUGCAAAGAAGGUAUCUGUGACAUUACAUUCCAUAUUCUUUAUGAAAAUAUUCUUAUAAUAUGAAUGACAUAAGAUAUACUUUAUGCAAGAUGGCUCAUGUGAGAUGAUAUGAUAAAGAAAUUGCACUACAGUACUUGUAUUAGGUGAAUUGAAUAGUAUGUUUUUUACAGUGCAAAUAUUUAAUCAGAAAUAAUAUGAAGUGAUCACUCUACACUUUGUAUUGUGUUGUGUUGUAACUGAAAUCAACAUUUGAAAAUGUAAAAAAUAUCUAAAUAUUUAAUAAAUGGUAUUCUGUUAUUGUUUAAUAGUGCAAUUAAUCAAGAUUAAUCUUUUUAAUUGCUUGACAGCCCUACAAUUUACUCAACCUCUUUUGUACCUACAGCCUUCUGCCAGCUAUGGACUAUAUGAGGUCUUGGUAUCGGAGUGCAGUUGGCUAAGGCCUGUGUGGUAACUGCUUGGUUGUGUGAUGGGGGCCAGAUGCUGUACUGUUCCUGCAGAGGAAAUGGCUUGCCUCAUACCUGGAAUCUUAAAAGUAGGGCUGUCAAUCGCACUUAACACCUGUGAUUAACUGAAAACAAAAUUAAUGCAUUAAUCACAUACCUCUGGGGGGGGGGGGGGGGGGCAGCCAGGAGCCCUGCACCCCCAGCCCAGAGCCUAUAUUUCAAAAUAUCCAAAAAUAUUUAAAUAAAUUGUAUUCUAUUAACAGUGCAGUUCAAACUCUGAUUAAUCACCAUUAAUUUUUUUUAACUGCUUGCCACCCCCUACUUAAAAGACAACUUUAACCCUUCAAACACUGUUGCCUGUUCCAAUUUUCUACUCUGCCCUCCACUCCUAACACAGAUAAACAGUCCCCAGUGUUUGUGCCUUCUCUGCUAUCAGCCCUGCCAGUCUGCAGAGUCUAGUACACAUACCAGGAAACAGUAACCAGAAUGGUCACAGGAAGGCAGGCAAGAUAGCACUUGCUCUGCCCUAGAGUUCCAGGAUCGCAACAGUGCCAAGCACACCUUCACUCACUUUCAUCUCAAACCCAUCCUGGAAAGAGAGCCACAUCAGCAAACCAGGCUGCUCAGCAAGAGACAUGUACAUCCUAACCAGUGCGCACACACAGAAAGGGAGUACUCAGUGCCCACUAGACCUGGCACUUGGUUGUGGGGUGAAUGCUCCCACAGUCAAAUAGGGUAUUCAGUUCAUUGUUCUGGACUGAGAUUUUAGACCUGGUAGCCACCUUUAAUGCAAGCAGGAAAGUAACUAGGUGUUUAGCAUGGGGAAAUUUAGCUGCAAUCCACCAUGUGCCCCUGAAAGGAGCCAAGUCACGGGCUCAUAUGAGGGGAAAAAAUGUGUUACCACAAGAGAUUCAACAUUUAUUUCAUCAUAAAAGUCCAGCAAAUAAAACUAUAUACAGUGAUCCAUGCAUGUGGCCAGUAACACACAGACAUUUAAAACCUGAUUAAAAACACAGUCUUCACACCAGCAGAGAGGGCAGGACACGGGGUGGCAUUAGCAGGGGCCAUAGUCAUGUUUAUAUUUUGGAUGCUGGUUGUAGCCAACUCUCUCCCCAGCAAUGAGGCUCUGAAUAACCCACUCCUGCGACACAACAGGCAGCCGUAACACUUCUGCACACUUCAGGACAGCAGCUGGGCAGGACGAGUCACUCACCACCACGUCAAACACCCCCAAAGCAAUAUCUGCAGGGAGCAGGACACAGGCUAUUGUCAGGGGAAAAAGAAAAGACUCCUCCCUCCCUGCAGUCAAGAGAUGCAGUCUUACUGGUCCAGCAACCCUAGUCAGAAAAUUCUAUGUCUUGUACAGUUAAAAGUAUUCCACAUCGAAGUUUGAGCUCAGAUGGAGCCUCAAGUGCCGAAGAUCAAAAAACAAGGCUGCCCUUUGGCAGAUGAAUAAGCAGCUGCUUGGGUCCACAUCCUACAUGAGCUCCAUGGCUCACCUGCACUACCUCUCCUGGAGAGGGACUGAAGGGAGAGGAGAUUUAUUGCCUGAUAGCAGACUCAGAAGCGAAGCAACUGCUGACCCCGUUUUCCCUUUCUAAAAGCACAGACUGGACCACCACCUGAACUACUGCAGCAUGCAAAAGUUCACUCCCAAAACGGAGUCAGUGGAAGAGUGGAGACUUCCCCAUUUUAUCCAGGCAGAGGGCUAUCAGUUAUCUUACCCUGUGUCUGCUACCCCAUCCCUGCUCUCACCUACAACAGCCUAAGCCCCUGAUCAAGUCAAUUCUAAAUCAGUUUAAACUCCACACAAGACUGCACAGGCACUGAAGUCCCAACUACUGGAUGUGAGAGUCACACGAGGCUCUCUGGCUGGUGGGUACCUUUGUUCUGGGCAUUCGAAUAAUGUUGUUUAACUGAUGCUGCUCCCCCUGUCAUGAGGAUUUCUGACCAGAGCUCCAGGAAGUUCUGCUGUUGGUCUGAUACCAGAAGAACUUUCAGGUUACCAAAGGGGUUCUCUCGGGGGUGCCUGGAAAAGGAACAAGAGGAGGGAAGGCGUGGCAGAUCCCUACAGACUCAAAACAGUAACUUAAUUCUAUGGCCACUUACUCUGGUAGCCUGUUUGGUUAGUUAUAUGACCCCACAACACCCUUAUAUCUGAAUGCCUCAUAAACAUCAAUAAUUUUAUCCUCCCAACAGCCCUUUGAGGUAAGGACGUAUUAACCCCUUUUACAGAUAGGAAAACUGAGGCACAGAGACAGAUUUGCUCAGUCACAUGAUGAAUCUAUAGCAGAGCUGAGACAUGAACUCAGAUCUCCCAUGUUCCAGGCUGUCCUUAGCCGCAAUGCCACCGUCCCAUCUCAGUGGGGGGAGAGAGAGGGGUGUGGCAGGGCGAGAAAAGCGGUGGCUGGAAGGCAUUGCUGAAACAAAGUAUAUUAGUGUUGUCCUCUUCUAAUUUUUUAAAGAUCUUUCUGGUAGCAAGGUGCCUGCAGCUUAACCCAAUAUCCUGGGUGCAUUUUCACCAGAGCUGCAUACAGAGGGAUUGUCACUUCCCUGUUCAGUUAAGAGGAUAACUAAAAUUUAAGAUGCCACUGUUUAUGAAACCAGAAUUGCAGACGACCUGCUGCCAUAUCUCAUUGAAAGCCCACAUUCCUGCAUCCCAGAUUUCUCCCUCCCACUGAGUAUUUGGGAGCGUUGGGUUAUUUCUUUCCCAGAUGCAUUAGCUGCAUUUUCCCCAAAGAAUCUCCUUGGAAAUAUGCAGGAAAUAACAGUCUUUCUAGUUCCCUCUCUAUUUUUCUGUCCUCUCAGUUUACUAUGUAUUUGCUAGUGCAACUAACAUGUUAACCUUUCCCUUACCAGAUCAUUAAUAUUUAAUAAAAUAGAUACUGUUGUGCGA